CAGUCAAAUUACGUAGUCUCAAAACAAACGGAAAAGUGCAGGGAUGCAGAAACAUUCCCCUGUUCAAAUUGAAGAUAGCAAAAAUCUUCCAAAAUCUCAAAGAAUCCUUGCUAGAAAGGUCAAUAAACUUGGAAAUACAAGACUGCAAGAAGCUGCUUAAAAUUUUCGAGCUACUGCGUUUUCAGUAAUGUUGUACAUCGUAAUGUUUUUAAAUUCAUCCAUUGUAAUUUGGAUUCGUGCAUGAGUGAUCCAUACUAUAUCUCUUUUUAAAAUUUUGGGUGUAAGGAGGACAGAACUUUGAGAUGAGCAGGAGGACAGAACUUUGUCGAAACUUCCAACGAGGAAGUUGUCGAUAUGGUUCAGAUUGCAAGUUCCUUCAUCCAACGCAACAACCGUCUAAUCCUUACGGCUUUGGGGUAAAGAAUCCAUCACAAACACGGAGUGGAUUUGGUUUUGGGGCAACUCAUCAGAAUCAGAAAGCAUCUGAGAGAGGUAAUCGUUUUCUACCAUUGUCAGGAGCUGGUUCAGUGGGAUCUCAACAAAAUGACUCUCAGCCGCAGGUGGCAAAUCAUGUGUGUAAUGAUCCAAAUAUUUGCAAACAACAAAUUGUUGAAGACUUAAAAAAUGAGCGACCUGUUUGGAAGCUUACAUGCUAUAGCCAUUGGAGAUCACUUCCUUGUGAUAUUAUUGGGGACAUAAGCUAUGAAGAAUUGAGAUUUGCUGCCUACGAUGAUGCUAAACAAGGACUGUCUCUUCAACAAAUAAUUCAAAGGGAGAGUAGCCUAGUUAAUUCGAAAAAGGAAGAAUUCAAUAAUCUUCUCCGUACUCCAUACAGACCUCCUUCAAAUUCCAGUUCCAGUGGAUUUAAUUCCUCUUCAGCUCCAUUCUCUUUUCAAAAUAACACAAUUGCAUCAGUUCCAAGUGUUGGCCUGUUUGGGAGUACAACUGGUGGAACAUAUCAGACCAGUGCUGGAUUUGGGACUCCUCCAAACACAUUUGGCUCUGUUCUUGGAAAUACAUUGCAUGCAUUUGGAAAUCAAGCUCAAACUCCCAAUCAAAACCCUUUCGGCAAGGCUUCAGUUUUUCCAACCAAUUUUACUGGACAACAAAAUCCCAACUCUUCAGCAAUUGGGUUUGGUGCCAACAGUUCACCAUUUGGAGCUCCAGGGCCUUUUUCUUCUGAAGGUGCAAGUCGUCAUACGUUUGGGAGUACACCAGGCACGAACAUGUUUGGCUCUCAAAAUAAUGCCAAUAUGAUUAGCAAUAACCCUUUUUCUAGUGCUGCAACAAACUCAAUGCCCUUCUCAAGUUUUGGAAAUCAGGCAGUCCACACCCCAAAUAAUAUUACUGUUUCUGGAAGUUUAGCUGGUACCAGUGGAAACCCUUUUGUUACCAUCACAUCAGCGGCACCGAUGGGCUCUGUAUCUCCUGCUAGUGUACCAAGUGUGACACAAUCUACAGAGAAUGACAUAUGGUUGAAGGAUACAUGGGGUGUUGGUGAGAUCCCAGAAGAUGAACCACCGCCAUACGCAAGGAGGUGAACUUUAUUGAGUCCAUAGCUUGUUUAUAAAAGCAACAGUUAUGCUUGUGAAUAUUUUGCCGCACAAUGAGAAAAAAAAAGUAUUGUGAUGAUAUGCUUCUGGGAUUGCUAUGUGGGUUUUUAAGAAAUCUUUUUUGUUUUUUAUGUAAAUAUGACAAGAGCUAUAUGUCCCUUUGUGUCUGCUCGCUUCAUCUUUUCACUUUGAGGCAGUUGCUUUGAAAUGUUUCUGUUGCUUGCAUGGAUAUAUCUUUCCAGCCAAUUUUGCCAUUUCUAAUCAAGUUCCUUAUUCAAUCCAAAUUUGAUACAAACAAAGGAUAUUUACCGACAGCAGUUCCAUGUAAUGAGAGAUUUGAUGGUUUGACAAGGAACAGAGCAGAUCAGAAACUUUCAUUGUUCCAUCUAACAUUGACCUGUUUAUGAGAAAGUACUUUGAAGAUGCAAAUGGAUAUCAACAAAUCCAGUCUGCUAUCUGAUUGAAAAGACAGAAAUCUUACAGAAUAUGCCUCCAGCCCUUCAACUGAUUGCAUACCUGGAUGCUUCUCAAGAUUAUCAUCUUGCAGCUUGUUCUCUAGUAACAUUUUGUGGAGGUGUCUCCAUAUCAAUAUAUGAAGUCUUUUUGUGAUGCCUUUGGUCAUCAUUUUUUUUGAGAUUGCAUCCAAAAAAUAUGCAAAUCAAUCAAUUUCACAUUCAGAGUUACCAAAUUCUUUGUGUGUUUCAUCUAUUUUAUGCCUUUCAGGCUCCAAAAUAACAAACAAUUUCAAUGCUGAGAUAAGGCAAAGGCAAUGUGUGCCUUUUCUGUCAUAAACUUGUGCAACAAAUGAGUAAGUCUAGUGUUCCAUAACUAAAAGAGCAUUUGUCCUAUUGAAGGACUGAAAGGAGCUUAUUUUGUUUGAUA